rnacentral:rRNA from 1 species
CCUACGGGUGGCAGCAGUGGGGAAUUUUGGACAAUGGGCGAAAGCCUGAUCCAGCAAUGCCGCGUGCAGGAUGAAGGCCUUCGGGUUGUAAACUGCUUUUGUACGGAACGAAAAAGCUCCUUCUAAUACAGGGGGGCCAUGACGGUACCGUAAGAAUAAGCACCGGCUAACUACGUGCCAGCAGCCGCGGUAAUACGUAGGGUUCGAGCGUUAAUCGGAAUUACUGGGCGUAAAGCGGUCGCAGGCGGUUAUGUAAGACAGAUGUGAAAUCCCCGGGCUCAACCUGGGAACUGCAUUUGUGACUGCAUGGCUAGAGUACGGUAGAGGGGGAUGGAAUUCCGCGUGUAGCAGUGAAAUGCGUAGAUAUGCGGAGGAACACCGAGGGCGAAGGCAAUCCCCUGGACCUGUACUGACGCUCAUGCACGAAAGCGUGGGGAGCAAACAGGAUUAGAUACCCGUGUAGUC